rnacentral:rRNA from 1 species
UACAGAGGUCCCAAGCGUUGUUCGGAAUUACUGGGCGUAAAGGGCGCGUAGGCGGUGUGUCAAGUCAGGCGUGAAAGCCCCGGGCUCAACCUGGGAACCGCGCUUGAGACUGGCACGCUCGAGUCCGGGAGAGGAUGGUGGAAUUCCCCAGUGUAGAGGUGAAAUUCGUAGAUAUUGGGAAGAACACCGAUGGCGAAGGCAGCCAUCUGGACCGGCACUGACGCUGAGGCGCGAAAGCGUGGGGAGCAAACAGG